UCCAACAAUAAUAUUUCCCGCAUUUAGCGGAGCCUUGCCGACCUUCGUGGUUGUGGUGGUGCUUCUCUUGCCAUGGGUAUCUCAACUUGUUCUGCUAUGUUAGCAUCGCUCGUUGAUUCUUGACCGAUUGGCUCAUCCUGAAUUUCUUCAAGACGCAUUGUCUUUCCACUCUUCUUCCCUUUGAGAAACUCUUUCUCUAGGAAAGCACCAUUCCGAGCAACAAACACUUUGCCCUCUGAUCGGUUGUAGAAAUAGUAUCCUAAAGUUUCCUUUGGAUAUCCCACGAAAAUGCACUUAUCCAACUUGGGUGUAAUCUUGUCCGACUGAAGUCACUUGAUAAAUAC
rnacentral:lncRNA from 1 species